CCUACGGGAGGCAGCAGUGAGGAAUAUUGGUCAAUGGGCGUGAGCCUGAACCAGCCAAGUCGCGUGAGGGAGGACUGCCCUACGGGUUGUAAACCUCUUUUGUCGGGGAGCAACGGCCGUCACGUGUGGCCGGACUGAGAGUACCUGGAGAAAAAGCAUCGGCUAACUCCGUGCCAGCAGCCGCGGUAAUACGGAGGAUGCGAGCGUUAUCCGGAUUUAUUGGGUUUAAAGGGUGCGUAGGCGGAUCGGUAAGUCAGUGGUAAAAUCGAGGGGCUCAACCCCUUCCCGCCUUUGAAACUGGCGGUCUUGAGUGGGAGAGAAGUAUGCGGAAUGCGUGGUGUAGCGGUGAAAUGCAUAGAUAUCACGCAGAACCCCGAUUGCGAAGGCAGCAUGCCGGCUUCCGACUGACGCUGAGGCACGAAAGCGUGGGGAUCGAACAGGAUUAGAUACCCUAGUAGUC
rnacentral:rRNA from 1 species